GACGAACGCUGGCGGCGUGCUUAACACAUGCAAGUCGAACGGAAAGGCCUCUUUCGGGGGGUACUCGAGUGGCGAACGGGUGAGUAACACGUGAGUAACCUGCCCUUGACUUUGGGAUAACUUCAGGAAACUGGGGCUAAUACCGGAUAGGAGCUCCUGCUGCAUGGUGGGGGUUGGAAAGUUUCGGCGGUUGGGGAUGGGCUCGCGGCUUAUCAGCUUGUUGGUGGGGUAGUGGCUUACCAAGGCUUUGACGGGUAGCCGGCCUGAGAGGGUGACCGGCCACAUUGGGACUGAGAUACGGCCCAGACUCCUACGGGAGGCAGCAGUGGGGAAUAUUGCACAAUGGGUGGAAGCCUGAUGCAGCAACGCCGUGUGCGGGAUGACGGCCUUCGGGUUGUAAACCGCUUUCGCUCAUGACGAAGCUUUGUGUGACGGUAGUGGGUAAAGAAGCACCGGCUAACUACGUG
rnacentral:rRNA from 1 species